ensembl:piRNA 21ur-4796 ncRNA
UAACUCUUCUAUUCGAUUGGU